CCUACGGGAGGCAGCAGUAGGGAAUAUUGCUCAAUGGGGGAAACCCUGAAGCAGCAACGCCGCGUGGAGGAUGAAGGUUUUCGGAUUGUAAACUCCUUUUGUCAGAGAAGAUAAUGACGGUACCUAACGAAUAAGCACCGGCUAACUCCGUGCCAGCAGCCGCGGUAAUACGGAGGGUGCAAGCGUUACUCGGAAUCACUGGGCGUAAAGAGCGCGUAGGCGGGAUAGCAAGUCAGAUGUGAAAUCCUAUGGCUUAACCAUAGAACUGCAUUUGAAACUGUUUUUCUAGAGUGUGGGAGAGGUAGGUGGAAUUCUUGGUGUAGGGGUAAAAUCCGUAGAGAUCAAGAGGAAUACUCAUGGCGAAGGCGACCUGCUAGAACGUAACUGACGCUGAUGCGCGAAGGCGUGGGGAGCAAACAGGAUUAGAUACCCCUGUAGUC
rnacentral:rRNA from 1 species